GUAGUUAGCCGGGGCUUCCUCCUUGGCUACCGUCAUUUGUUUCGUCACCAAGGACAGAGGUUUACAACCCGAAAGCCUUCUUCCCUCACGCGGCGUUGCUGGGUCAGGCUUGCGCCCAUUGCCCAAUAUUCCCCACUGCUGCCUCCCGUAGGAGUCUGGACCGUGUCUCAGUUCCAGUGUGGCCGAUCAGCCUCUCAGCUCGGCUACCCAUCGUUGGCUUGGUGAGCCGUUACCUCACCAACUACCUAAUGGGACGCGAACCCCUCUUAAAGCGGAUUGCUCCUUUGACCUCAUCCCGAUGUCGGGUCGUGGUCUUAUGCGGUAUUAGCACUUGUUUCCAGGUGUUAUCCCCCUCUUUAAGGCAGGUUGUUCACGCGUUACUCACCCGUUCGCCACUAAGAUAAAACCGAAAUUCUAUCUCCGUUCGACUUGCAUGUGUUAGGCACGCCGCCAGCGUUCGUCCUGAGCCCAUAAGUACUAACCUAACCUUCGUACGUACGUAGGACGGGGCCGGGUCGGUCGGAACGGACGGGCCGACUAAGUAG
rnacentral:rRNA from 1 species